UGUACAUAGCUCCUGAACUGGAGUGGUCAAUCCCAUCUUGACACACACACCGACAAGUCAAGUACUUGACUACACCCAGCAGCCUUCCAUCACUGAAUUAGAAAUUCAGGUAGUCCAGUACCUAAGUGUAGUGAGUUGCUUGCAAGUCACCGUGGCGGUCUCAGAUCAGAGGGAUAGUUAUACUCAUAUCCCAUCGGAGUAAAUCUUGACAGCAGAAAUAGCUCCGGAGUCGGUCACGUUCAGUGCAGAUGUACCCUUACAUCUCACCUGU
rnacentral:lncRNA from 1 species